rnacentral:rRNA from 1 species
UACAGAGACUGCAAGCGUUAUUCGGAUUCACUGGGCGUAAAGGGUGCGCAGGCGGCCGUGUGUGUCAGGUGUGAAAGCCCGGAGCUUAACUCCGGAAUUGCGCCUGAAACUACAUGGCUAGAGCAUUGGAGAGGGUAGCGGAAUUCACGGUGUAGCAGUGAAAUGCGUAGAUAUCGUGAGGAACACCAGAGGCGAAGGCGGCUACCUGGAACGGUACUGACGCUGAGACGCGAAAGCGUGGGGAGCAAACAGG